GGCGGUAAGACUAUACUGGACUAAUGUAUCUCGUCUCUCCCGUGUCCUCAAUCGUCUCGGUCAAAUGCGCGUGUAUGGUUUUAGCUAGAGUUGGAUUUUUUAAUUCUGAUUACCUUGAUUAACCAGAAUCUUCAGCGGCAAUAACACAAGGAUUCCUUUCCAAACCCGCAAAAUUGGAUCCCUCGUUUUCGGUUAGACACCUUCAAAAUGGCUCCCUUUUUAUCCGGAGGACUCUCCGAAAGAAGAGUAUCCCAUUUUUUUAUCCUUAUUUUCCAUGCCCAAAAAUGGCUAUCUCGGAUUCUCGGUUAAUGAUUUCUUGUUCUGAGUUCCACAAUCUUCUUUCGGGGUCAUUCAUUCCCAGAAGGACCUCCGCUUUGCUUUCCUCACUUGUUCUUGGUCUCCAGUUUCCGUGGUCGUCUAAAGAUUGGUGAACUACAGCAAUACAUAUUGAAUAUUCAUAGCUACAAGGUAGUUUUGACACCUGGGGUUUGGUGGGUUAUGUUUUUCAUCUCUUUGAAUCGAGUUGCUAAUCAGGUGGUCGAUGAAAUCUUGCCCUGUUUGAGUUCUGGAUCACUGUUUGAUUUCUCGUGUUCUUUCGGUGGUCGAUGAAAUCUUCCCCUCAAUGUAUUAAAUGAUUCAGAGAAAUUGUUCGAAGGUUCCCCUGGUUGGAUUGGACUUCCUGGCUUGUGGGGGAAGUGGAGAUUGAAAGAGCCACAUCAGAGAAAUCGGUUAUAGUUUAUGGGUUUCUGGGUUCACUACUUUCAAGACAUGGGUUGCUUCCCUUGUUUUAGGUUCCAACUAAAGAAGGCAGCAAAGAGAGCAAAUAGCAGCAGGAUAGAACCAUCAGUGACUUCUAAUAAACAACCUGAUCCACCUUCCCAGUCUGCAGAGAAGCCAAAACCAAAGGCUUCAGUUGAAACCAUAGAAAAAAAUGAUGCCACUCACAAAGAUGGUAGUGGUAAUAUUGAGGCACUGUCAUUUACAUUCCGUGAAUUAGCUACAGCAACAAAGAAUUUCAGGCAGCAAUGCUUCCUUGGUCAAGGUGGAUUUGGAAGAGUCUAUAAGGGGAAGCUUGAGAAUGGCCAGCUGGUGGCUGUGAAGCAAUUGGAUAGGAAUGGAUCACAAGGGAACAAAGAAUUCCUUGUUGAGGUUUUAAUGCUGAGUCUCCUCCACCAUGAAAAUCUUGUAAAUCUCGUAGGAUACUGCUCUGAUGGAGAUCAGAGGCUUCUGGUGUAUGAGUACAUGCCAUUGGGUUCUCUGGAAGACCACCUUCUUGUUAUUUCACCAAAGCAAAGGCCGUUAAGUUGGUAUACGAGAAUGAAAAUAGCUACAGGUGCUGCCAAAGGCCUGGAAUAUUUACAUGACAAAGCCAACCCUCCUGUUAUAUAUCGCGAUUUGAAAUCAUCUAAUAUUUUACUGGAUGAAGAGUUUAAUCCAAAACUCUCUGAUUUUGGGCUUGCCAAGCUUGGACCUGUUGGGGAUAUGGAACAUGUAUCAUCAAGGGUGAUGGGAACAUAUGGGUACUGCGCCCCAGAGUAUCUAAGAACUGGUCAUUUGACUGCAAAGUCGGAUGUUUACAGUUUUGGAGUAGUUUUGUUGGAGCUAAUUACAGGGAGAAGAGUCAUAGACACAACCAGGUCGAAUGAGGAGCAAAAUCUAGUUACUUGGGCACAACCUUUUCUCAAUGUCCCAAGUAGGUCUACAGAGCUGGCUGAUCCACUUCUUCAAGGGAACUUCCCUGUUAAAGGUUUGAAUCAAGCGGUUGCAGUUGCUGCGAUGUGCCUUCAAGAGGAAGCAACUGCCCGUCCUUCGAUUGGUGAUGUUGUCUCCGCUCUUAGUUGCCUAUCAGAGGAUCCUGAUCAGGAGAUUUCUUCACACCUUCCUGUUCAGCAUCUAGCUUCUCAGGAGAAAAAUUCAAGUAAGGAUCUAGAUAUAGACAGUGCAGAAGCACGCAAAAGAGCUGUAGCAGAAGCCAUUGAAUGGGGUUCAAGGGCAAAACAACAAUAGAUCUUAGGGUGUAAGUUCUUCAUUCUAGCCUCUCUGCUCUGCUCUGUGAUCAAGUAUAUCUAAGUUAGCUUUUACUGAGCCAAAAGUCUUGUGGCCUAUGGAUAUCAUAUAUAUCUGUUCCACAGUAAGAAUGAUAAGAUGGCCACAGUGGCAUCACAUUUAACUGAGGAUUACACUAUAUAUGAGGGAAGCUUGAUUUUGAAUGAGGUGGAGAAAGGGAUGCCUUGGUACAAGUAAAAAUUAGUAAAGAAUUGAAGAACAUAAAUGAUUUUUUACAUUUAAGUUCUUUGAGAUAAAGCGACAAGUGGCUGCUCAGAUGUUGGAAAGAACAGAAGAUGAGUUUGGAUAUCACAUGUUUAUUAAUAUUGACAAGCAGUAGUUGUAGAGAAAAUGGGGGUUAAUAGUAUAACAUUGUAUUAUCUUUCUUUUGUAUCAUAAUUCUUGUAUACUCUUGUACACUGUUGUAUUUUACUUAUUCAUGUAAGGACAGAAUUGUCCAUUCACACAUUAAUAUGUAUUCCUUCUGUUUGAGUGUGUGACUCACUGAACACACCCCA